rnacentral:tRNA from 1 species
GGGGUGUUAGCUCAGUUGGGAGAGCGUCUGUUUUGCAAGCAGAAGGUCGCAGGUUCGAAGCCUGUACGCUCCACUA